rnacentral:rRNA from 1 species
UACGGAGGAUGCGAGCGUUAUCCGGAUUUAUUGGGUUUAAAGGGUGCGUAGGCGGGACCUUAAGUCAGCGGUAAAAUUGCGGUGCUCAACGCCGUAGAGCCGUUGAAACUGGCGGGCUGGAGUUGGAGAGAAGUACGCGGAAUGCGCGGUGUAGCGGUGAAAUGCUUAGAUAUCGCGCAGAACCCCGAUUGCGAAGGCAGCGUACCGGCUCCACACUGACGCUGAGGCACGAAAGCGUGGGGAGCAAAUAGG